CAACCUACCUAUCAGAGGGGAAUAACCCGGCGAAAGUCGGACUAAUACCGCAUAAAACAGGGGCACCGCAUGGUGAUAUUUGUUAAAGAAAUUCGCUGAUAGAUGGGCAUGCGUUCCAUUAGGUAGUUGGUGAGGUAACGGCUCACCAAGCCGACGAUGGAUAGGGGAACUGAGAGGUUGGUCCCCCACACUGGUACUGAGACACGGACCAGACUCCUACGGGAGGCAGCAGUGAGGAAUAUUGGUCAAUGGGCGGGAGCCUGAACCAGCCAAGUCGCGUGAAGGAAGAAGGAUCUAUGGUUCGUAAACUUCUUUUGCAGGGGAAUAAAGUGCAGGACGUGUCCUGUUUUGUAUGUACCCUGAGAAUAAGGAUCGGCUAACUCCGUGCCAGCAGCCGCGGUAAUACGGAGGAUCCGAGCGUUAUCCGGAUUUAUUGGGUUUAAAGGGUGCGUAGGUGGUUUGAUAAGUCAGCGAUGAAAGUUUGCAGCUUAACUGUAAAAAUGCCGUUGAAACUGUCGGACUUGAGUGCAAAUGAGGUAGGCGGAAUGCGUGGUGUAGCGGUGAAAUGCAUAGAUAUCACGAAGAACUCCGAUUG
rnacentral:rRNA from 1 species